UUACUUCUCCGUUCUUCUUUCCCCUAAUUAUUUCACACAGUGAGAAUGUUCGUCUUCGCUGAGAUCCCCUUUCUCCUAUCCUUAUUCUCUCAGCUGACCCACAAAUUGCAGCUACCGGUCAGAUCCAAUCAGUUUGCUUUCUUUACUCGCUGCAUUGAGGUUGCUUGUCCUCCACCUGAAUCCACUCCGCAGCUGGUUCUGCUACAGGUUUAGCAUCGACGGCAGCUGGUUUGGCUGCUCGUACGCCUCAUCGGUCUCUUGUAAAUGGCGAUGGAGGGUAGCAGGCCUCAAGGAUUAGCUGCGCCAGGGAGAUAGCGAGAUCGACUUGGUCAUGGAUUUCAUCUCCUGCGGGCUCGCAGUCCUCUUGGAUCCAGCUUUAGUAUGAGGAUGCUGACGGCGUUUUCUUCCCCAAGAGCGCAAGCCAGAAGCAUCGUCUAUAUAUCGGCUCGAGGCAGCUCGGCACUUCACAGCAACAUUAUUCGAAGUUCAACCUGCAGGUAGUUGCUUUGCGUACUAUCGCAACUCAGAUGGAGCUGGUGGCAUCAAGACAUGAACCCACUAUCGAAUUUAAGGUCUGAUCUAUAAUUUCAUGAAGAUUGUACCUGGAGGUGGUUUGAUUGCUCGACGGAGCCGGCUGGUGCCUGCUGGAGGAAGACAAUGAAGUUGACCUCGAAGAACAUGAGAUUUUGGUUGUAUGUGGACUCUGAAGAGAUAUUCUUCUAUU